rnacentral:rRNA from 1 species
AGCGAACGCUGGCGGCAGGCCUAAUACAUGCAAGUCGAACGAACCCUUCGGGGUUAGUGGCGGACGGGUGAGUAACACGUGGGAACGUGCCUUUAGGUUCGGAAUAACUCAGGGAAACUUGUGCUAACACCGAAUGUGCCCUUCGGGGGAAAGAUUUAUCGCCUUUAGAGCGGCCCGCGUCUGAUUAGCUAGUUGGUGAGGUAAUGGCUCACCAAGGCUACGAUCAGUAGCUGGUCUGAGAGGAUGACCAGCCACAUUGGGACUGAGACACGGCCCAAACUCCUACGGGAGGCAGCAGUGGGGAAUCUUGCGCAAUGGGCGAAAGCCUGACGCAGCCAUGCCGCGUGGAUGAUGAAGGUCUUAGGAUUGUAAAAUCCUUUCACCGGUGAAGAUAAUGACUGUAGCCGGAGAAGAAGCCCCGGCUAACUUCGUGCCAGCAGCCGCCGUAAAAC